rnacentral:misc_RNA from 1 species
GCCACUGGAAUCUGCCGUGCCCCAUUACAUGAUAAUGCACCAUUUUGAAGAGCCACAACACAAGUGUGACCAUAUUUUCCGUCCCUUUUGUAUAAAUCAAGGUAGAAAAAACCCAAGAGUUCAUUAGAACUUAAGUCGAACACUGAAAAGACACUGACAUCACCGUGCCAAACCUCCGCAUCUGCAAUUUCCUGAAAUCUUAACCCGAAAAGGUCUUGCAAUAUUUUGAAGAUCCCAGAUAAAACCAAAUCAACAGGGAAGAAUUGCCUAAG